CCAGCACCUUCUUUCCAGAGCUUCAGAAAUGUGACACUGACGAUGACGUGGCCAUGUGUUUUAUUAAGAACGAGGGGGACUUCGACAAGUACAUCCUGUAUCUAGUUGGUCGGAUACAGGCCGAGUCUGUUGUUGUCAGCAAAACUGUUCAGGAGUUCUACAAGCGAUAUACAGAGGAAAUGCUCUCUGGCGAGGACCCAUCCCAGCCACCCGUGCUCCCUCUGCAGCACUAUCUGGAGAGACCCA